GAUAAAAUUAUUUAUGAUAAUUUUAUGACGAUUGAAAGCGAACAUUUUGCCGACAAGGUAAUGACGUCACUUCGAAAAGAACAGAAAAAAGAAAAAUAAACUAAAGAAAAAUAAAAGAAAAUUUAUUAGAUGAUAAAUAUAAGGUAAAAGAAUUAGUGAAUAAAUCUGGAGUUGAAUUCAUGAAUCCCUGUCUUAUUUACAUGAAUUCAGGCAACCAGUUAUACUCUUAACUCUACACUGUGAUUAUUAACUUAAAUUGCAUUUCAUAACAGUCAAACUCCAGAUUUAUUCACUAAUUCUUUUACCUUAUAUUUAUCAUCUAAUAAAUUUCCUUUUAUUUUUCUUUAGUUUAUUUUUCUUUUUUCUGUUCUUUUCGAAGUGACGUCAUUACCUUGUUGGCAAAAUUUUCGCUUUCGAUCGUCAUAAAAUUAUCAUAAAUAAUUUUAUGUUACUAUUAAUUCAAAUUGUUUAUUCUCACUCAUUUAUUUAAUAGCUAAUUAAAUUCAUUUAUUUAAGUAAAAAAUAUUUUUUGCAUUUCUAAAAUACAAAAUAUCUGCAUACACAUAAAAUUCCCUACCUAGAACGUCUUGUCAAUAUUCGUUCAAUGUCAUAUUUCAGUCUGUCAGUUUGAAGCCAAGAUGAAGACCACAUUGUAUACUACAUUCGCUCUCGCGAGAUUUUUUUUUGACACAGACGUUAGUAAUUUCUUUUUUGAAAAAUUCAGUUGUCAGAAGUGACUGGAAAUUACUACAAAACCAACGCACCUGCUCAUAUCCAAUAUUAUUAAUAGUAAACAGACAUAAAAAUAACAUAAACCUUACGCCAAUCAAUAUUUAUUUAUUUAAACCAUUAUAAUGUAUUGAUAGCAAAUGAGAAAAUUAUUUAUUGUACAAAAUAAAAAUAUUUUGUAGAAAUAAACUUCACAAAAUUUUAUGAGAUUAGUAGACACUCCCACUAUUUCUAAUAAUUCUUCUUUUUUUAAUGAAAGAUUAAGUUGAUUUGAGUUGAUUUUAGCAGUUAAUAGUGUGAGGUAGGAAUUUUUGUGUUGUACGUUUCCUAUUCCGAAUGUCUCAAAAAGAAUCUCGCGAGAGCGAAUGUAGUAUAGUACCACUACAUUUCUAAAUUCUUUAAACAUCGACUUAUUGUCGACAUUGUUGUAGCCGAAAUGGCCUAAUUAUUGUAAUUUUAAGGUCUUUUGACCUAACUAUGUAGCUAGUUCCAACUACUUUGGAUCUAAAGUUUUCUACCUGAUGAUGGACUGAUUGGUCCGAAAACGUUUGUGUGAUUUUUGUACUAUAGAUGUACCCACUUCAAUCCAAUUUGAUCAUUUUAGAUAAAAAUUUUAAUAAAUUUAUAUACCAUUUACCUACCAAGUGAAGUUUUACCUACUUCCUUAGUAAGCAUAUAUUUUUGUUUUCAUCCUAAAAGUAGCCCGUUGACACAAUUAUUCUGUCUUUGAUACAUUCAAAAGUUAAAUUUUUGAAACCUGAUACAGAACUUGUAAAGCAGCUUUAAUAUAUGAUGAAGUAUCUUAGAAAUUUUAAGUAUAACAAUUGUACUGAAUCUUUUAAUUUGAACAUGGCAUGUCAUGUUUGAAAGUUGUCUCUAUACACUGUGCCUAAUGAUUUAGACUGAUGCACGCUGUGCAUUUGUUUUUUAUGAUUAUACUGUUUUAUCUGUGUGAUCCGAAAAGUGGGCGUCUGUUGAUAGCGACGUCAAUAAAAAUCAUCAAUACAAUAUUUA
rnacentral:lncRNA from 1 species